CACGGAGGCCCCGAGCGUUGUUCGGAUUUACUGGGCGUAAAGCGUGCGUAGGCGGCGAGGUAAGUCAGAUGUGAAAUCUCGGGGCUCAACCCCGAAACUGCAUCCGAUACUGCCUUGCUAGAGGACUGGAGAGGAGUUUGGAAUAGGCGGUGUAGCAGUGAAAUGCGUGGAUAUCGUCUGGAAGACCAAUGGCGAAGGCAGAACUCUGGACAGUUCCUGACGCUCAGGCACGAAGGCUAGGGGAGCGAAAAGG
rnacentral:misc_RNA from 1 species